CCUACGGGUGGCAGCAGUGAGGAAUAUUGGUCAAUGGACGAGAGUCUGAACCAGCCAAGUAGCGUGAAGGAUGACUGCCCUAUGGGUUGUAAACUUCUUUUAUAUGGGAAUAAAAUGUUCCACGUGUGGGAUUUUGUAUGUACCAUAUGAAUAAGGAUCGGCUAACUCCGUGCCAGCAGCCGCGGUAAUACGGAGGAUCCGAGCGUUAUCCGGAUUUAUUGGGUGUAAAGGGAGCGUAGGUGGAUUGUUAAGUCAGUUGUGAAAGUUUGCGGCUCAACCGUAAAAUUGCAGUUGAAACUGGCAGUCUUGAGUACAGUAGAGGUGGGCGGAAUUCGCGGUGUAGCGGUGAAAUGCUUAGAUAUCACGAAGAACUCCGAUUGCGAAGGCAGUUCACUGGACUGCAACUGACACUGAGGCUCGAAAGUGUGGGUAUCAAACAGGAUUAGAUACCCCUGUAGUC
rnacentral:rRNA from 1 species